rnacentral:lncRNA from 1 species
UUUAUUGUCAAAAACAUUUAUUUCUUCAAGUACAAAUAGUAAGUAUUAACCAUUUCGGAUGGUUUGCAUGUGCUCGGUUUUACUUAUGUUAACUCAUUUUUACCUCACAACAGUUACCGUGGUAAGAAAUUAUUAUCCACAUUGAUAUGUAAAUAUCAAUCCACAGAGGAAGAAAAUUGCUUAAGACCAAAGUCAUAGUUAUUAAAUGCCAGGGUCACAAUAUACCAUCUGCAAGCUGGAGAAUCAGAGAAGCCGGUGGCAUGGCCUGAUCCAAGUUGGAAGGAAAGCCCACCUGCUUCUGGUUUGCAGAUGGCAGUCUUUGUGUGGUAGUCUUACAUGGCAGAGAGAGAGAGCAAGCUUUUGUGUCUCUCUUUAUAAUGCCACUGCCAUGAUCUGAAUGUGUCCCCUGAAAUUCACUCAUAAAACAGUCUCCUCCAAAAACAUGGUCCUUCUCAGAAACAGUGCUUCCCCAGCCAUCUAGGCAUCCCUCAAUCCUGUCAAGUUGACACCUAAAACUAUCACAGGGACACUCUACAAGUAACUGGUAAACCCACCAGAAGAUCAGGGUCCAGAUGCAGAAAGCAGGUGCUGAUGAGUUUUUAAAUAUCUUGGGGUCUCCUAGUGGGCUGCUAUAGCAAGUUACCAUAGACUGGGUGGCUUAAACAACACACAUUUCUUUCUUACUGUUCUGAAGGCUGGCAAGUCCAAGAUCAAGGUGCAGGCACAUCUGGUGUCUGAUGAGGGUCCACCCGCUUUCUGAUUUGCUGAGGACAGUCUUCUUGUGGUAUUCUCACAUGGCAGAGAGCAAGCUCUUGUGUCUCUUUUUAUAAGGCCACUGCGAUGGUCUGAAUGUGUCUCCC